UACAGAGGUCCCAAGCGUUGUUCGGUUUCACUGGGCGUAAAGGGUGCGUAGGCGGUCGGGUAAGUCUGACGUGAAAUCUCACAGCUUAACUGUGAAACUGCAUUGGAUACUAUCCGGCUUGAGGAAUGGAGGGGAGACUGGAAUACUUGGUGUAGCAGUGAAAUGCGUAGAUAUCAAGUGGAACACCAGUGGCGAAGGCGAGUCUCUGGACAUUUCCUGACGCUGAGGCACGAAAGCCAGGGGAGCAAACGGG
rnacentral:rRNA from 1 species